CGGAUGAGGUGGUCUAAUUUUGGCUUCAAAGUUAUCUUUAACAAGUAUGCAUUUCCCUUACGUACAUCACGAAGUAUUUCAAGUGUGUGCAUGAUGACCAUGUCAAGUAUGCAGGAAAUAUCUUUCUGUGCGCUUACGUUUAAAAUUAUAUUCCAUCCAAGUUGAUAUCAAUUUCUCUCGAGCAUUUAAAGAGUCCUGACUAAAAGGUAUCCGUUAAUAUCAUUAUUAGAUUCACUACAUGAUACCCAAAGGAGAUAGUGAGAAGAUUUAUUAUACUUCCUUGGAGAAAAAUACGUAUUCGUCUGUUCGGUACAGAAUUAUGAACUUCAUUUUACUCCUGGAGACCGCCAUAUUUGUGGCCACCACAGUUGUAGUAGACACACAGCCGUUGUUGAAGAAAAGUGUAAUUAUGGAAGAGAGGAAAUUCACGGACUAGAAGAAUAUGUUAAAGACAUCAGUCAAUCAUUGCAAAGUCUUCACAAGGUCGUAAGUGCUUUGGUAUCUAUCCAUGGGACAAAUAAAGUGUGCCCUACAGGAUGGAAGAUGCACGAAGACUCUUGUUACAAAUUAUAUAAAAAGGGAAUGACAAUGGAAGAUGGAAAAAAAUUUUGUUCACGGGUAAAUGGAUACUUGGUGGAGAUCGAAACAGAAAGGGAAAAUGACUUCAUACUCGAACAACUUGAGAACAAUAAUGGACAAAUAACACAACCGGUUGUUGGAUUGGCGCAACCGAUGAAAAAAAAGAGGGCCAAUGGACAUGGAUUACAACAGGUACCAAUAUCUCAUUUUCGAACUGGGCAGACGGCGAACCAAACAAUGAACGGAAUGAUGAACACUGUCUGGAGCUGAGAAAGGACCAGUUGUGGCGCUGGAAUGAUAUCUCAUGUACUAAUGAAAUGGUGGUACUUUGUGAGAGGGAGAAGAUUGAAUUGACCGAUUUAUAAAUACCUAGUGUCCUUUCACAAUGAUGAAGUCACCAAGCCAAAGACACUAUAUAGUUAUCUACAAAGACUGUAAUGGCCGUCUGCGUUUUAUAUCAUUCAUCUACAUGAAACAUUAUAUUUGGUUCGGAUAAUCCACAUGUUUUGGACAAUAGGUUAAACAUUGCCAUCCCUUUUUUGGAUGGAAAGAAUGUAACUAUUGUGGAGUUCCACAUUGAACUAUAUUAGACCCAAUGUUUUUAUCCUGUUUAUCAGUGACUAUGUACCAGCACUGAAACAUCGUCAUGGAGAUAUUUGUUAAUGUCCCAACUGUAAUCCAAUUCAGAAAUUACCUAUAAAGAUUUACACAUUUAAGCUAUAUACCAGGGUCAUUCAUAGACAAUGUCUCUCUCGUAUAUAUAUAUAUUCUUUUGAAAAUAAAAUUCAACACAU